UACGGGGGGGGCAAGCGUUGUUCGGAAUUACUGGGCGUAAAGGGUUUGUAGGUGGCUUGCUAAGUCAGACGUGAAAUCCCUCAGCUUAACUGGGGAACUGCGUCUGAGACUGGCAGGCUUGAGUGCAGGAGAGGAACGCGGAAUUCCAGGUGUAGCGGUGAAAUGCGUAGAUAUCUGGAGGAACACCGGUGGCGAAGGCGGCGUUCUGGACUGCAACUGACGCUGAGGCGCGAAAGCUAGGGGAGCAAACGGG
rnacentral:rRNA from 1 species